rnacentral:rRNA from 1 species
UGGAUGAGUUGCGAACGGGUGAGUAACGCGUAGGUAACCUGCCUUGUAGCGGGGGAUAACUAUUGGAAACGAUAGCUAAUACCGAUAACAAUGGAUGACACAUGUCAUUUAUUUGAAAGGGGCAAUUGCUCCACUACAAGAUGGACCUGCGUUGUAUUAGCUAGUAGGUGAGGUAACGGCUCACCUAGGCGACGAUACAUAGCCGACCUGAGAGGGUGAUCGGCCACACUGGGACUGAGACACGGCCCAACUCCUACGGGAGGCAGCAGUAGGGAAUCUUCGGCAAUGGGGGCAACCCUGACCGAGCAACGCCGCGUGAGUGAAGAAGGUUUUCGGAUCGUAAAGCUCUGUUGUAAGUCAAGAACGAGUGUGAGAGUGGAAAGUUCACACUGUGACGGUAGCUUACCAGAAAGGGACGGCUAACUACGUGCCAGCAGCCGCGGUAAUACGUAGGUCCCGAGCGUUGUCCGGAUUUAUUGGGCGUAAAGCGAGCGCAGGCGGUUUGAUAAGUCUGAAGUUAAAGGCUGUGGCUCAACCAUAGUUCGCUUUGGAAACUGUCAAACUUGAGUGCAGAAGGGGAGAGUGGAAUUCCAUGUGUAG